rnacentral:lncRNA from 1 species
UGAGGGGGGAGAUGGGGUGCUGAUUGGUUCACUCCUUCACUUCCAGGCAUUCUGACCUCACAACAGACCUCGAAGGACUGGAUUCCAAACUAGAGCCCAUCAGAGAAACAGACAAAAUGUGCUGUUCAGUACUUCGCUUUCUUUCAACUGGCCUAUAAAGACAUCUAGCUACACGCGGACGCUCCCCCUGCUCUGCUAUUCCACAGUUCGUACUUUUUAUCACGGUCACAUUAAAACUGUGUAGUUUUGUUUUUUGUAUUUGGGUUUUGUUUUUGUUUUUGUUUGGUACCGGGGAUCAAACUCGGGUUCUUGCACUUGCGAGGCAGGCGGCGGCACCACUGAGCUAAAUCCCCGGCCCAAAACCGCGUUGUUUUUAAAGAGCGUGGCAAGCAGAAGAGCUUCCCCUGAGCACUGAUGGGUCUGGUGCCGCAGGUUUUAUUGCGACUCACUCUGUUCCGGCACAAGCACGCGGACCAGCGCAUCUCCCUUCCUGCUGUUCUGCAGGAGGAUUUCAUACACCUGCCAGUCUUACUUUUUUUUCAAACACGGGUCCCAAUUCACUCCUUAGGAAUGGAAUCGUUAUGAAAGGACAAUCAGUGGGCUUUACAGCAGCGGUCUGCAUCCACUACGUGAAAGAAAUCAGCAGGAGAAACAGCAGGUCCUGGGCUGGACUCGCUUUGUAAUUUAAAUGAAGAUAAAAUGUUUAUGGCCCUCCAGCUCCCAGAUGCCCUAGCAUAUAUUAAGCACGCUUCACGCCAGCUCGCUGUUUCCACCUCUCCAGGAUUCUGCUCAAAAUGAUGUUUGCAAGGAAGACUUUCCUAACCCUUAGCUGGAGUUGAGGGACCUCUUCUCUGCUCCCACAAUCAUCAUUCUCUCUGUCUCCCUGACUGGCUUGCAUGCUCCAUGGGGACAUGUCUUGCUCAUCUUAUUGGAUCUUCUGCCUCCAAGUUCUGUCUGGAACCAAGGUAUAAGCUAAAUAAACCUGAGUUCAGUGAAUGGCUAUCAACUCUUCAGCUGCCCAAGAAUGUUCAUUUUCUUCUUGUCUAUAUAGGAACAGAUUAAAAUUUACCGCAUGCACCAUAGAAUUAUCAAUCAUGAAGAGUUUUACAUUUUCCUAAGUCCAGUUAUUUUUCCCAACUGUGUCCACC